GCGCUCCCGGGUGGUUCUCCCCUGCGGCCGGACUCGCUCCUCCUGUCAACCCAGCGGAUGCAGUCAUUCCUGGGUACUUCUCCUUAGUUCUCCAAAUCACUCUGAGAUAUUCUCAGCAUCACAUUUACCUCGCUCUUGCAAGCGUGCAUGAUGCAGUCCGGAUGACACCCUUAUGAGCCUUCCUUACACUUGAUCUGGAGCCAUUGGGAGGAUUUUCAACAUGCCUGUUUUAUCGAUGGAGUGAUGAAGGAUACUCAAGCUUAAAGCCUCGGCUGGUUGUUCCACAGAAGUUCCCUAGGCAAGGAAAAAUAUUAAUACCACCUGAAAUCAGCCAGCACUUGUUCCAGGCCCAAUUUAAAAUUGAGUCGUAUCAACUCCAAGCGAUUGGGCCAGGGCCAUUGGUAUCCACACUCUAAGCACGAUAGCGACGUUCAGAACAGACCAAGUCCUCAAGUCUCCACUUCUUGGUACGGAAGUUUGGUGUUUUUUUUAAAUUAAUAAAUCUUUAUUGUUCGGAU